AUGAUGGGCGAGCUGAUCAGCCAUGCCGCGUGUGUGAAGAAGGUCUUCGGAUUGUAAAGCACUUUAAGUUGGGAGGAAGGGCUGUAAGUUAAUACCUUGCUGUUUUGACGUUACCAACAGAAUAAGCACCGGCUAACUUCGUGCCAGCAGCCGCGGUAAUNA
rnacentral:rRNA from 1 species